rnacentral:rRNA from 1 species
GGCUCGAUGUCUACUUGGAGGUUGUGCCCUUGAGGCGUGGCUUCCGGAGCUAACGCGUUAAGUAGACCGCCUGGGGAGUACGGCCGCAAGGUUAAAACUCAAAUGAAUUGACGGGGGCCCGCACAAGCGGUGGAGCAUGUGGUUUAAUUCGAUGCAACGCGAAGAACCUUACCUGGUCUUGACAUCCACAGAACAAUCCAGAGAUGGAUUGGUGCCUUCGGGAACUGUGAGACAGGUGCUGCAUGGCUGUCGUCAGCUCGUGUUGUGAAAUGUUGGGUUAAGUCCCGCAACGAGCGCAACCCUUAUCCUUUGUUGCCAGCGAUUAGGUCGGGAACUCAAAGGAGACUGCCAGUGAUAAACUGGAGGAAGGUGGGGAUGACGUCAAGUCAUCAUGGCCCUUACGACCAGGGCUACACACGUGCUACAAUGGCGCAUACAAAGAGAAGCGACCUCGCGAGAGCAAGCGGACCUCAUAAAGUGCGUCGUAGUCCGGAUUGGAGUCUGCAACUCGACUCCAUGAAGUCGGAAUCGCUAGUAAUCGUGGAUCAGAAUGCCACGGUGAAUACGUUCCCGGGCCUUGUACACACCGCCCGUCACACCAUGGGAGUGGGUUGCAAAAGAAGUAGGUAGCUUAACCUUCGGGAGGGCGCUUACCACUUUGUGAUUCAUGACUGGGGUGAAGUCUCAAAGGGGGAAACCA